rnacentral:rRNA from 1 species
AUUGAACGCUGGCGGCAGGCCUAACACAUGCAAGUCGAACGAGUGGCGGACGGGUGAGUAAUGUCUGGGACACUGCCUGAUGGCGGGGGAUAACUACUGGAAACGGUCGCUAAUACCGCAUACCAUCAGAUGUGCCCAGAUGGGAUUAGCUAGUUGGUGGGGUAACGGCUCACCAAGGCGACGAUCCCUAGCUGGUCUGAGAGGACGACCAGCAACACGGGAACUGAGACACGGUCCAGACGCUUACGGGAGGAAGCAGUGGGGAAUAUUGGAAAAUGGGGGCAAGCCGGAUGAAGCCAUGACGCGUGUAUGAGGAAGGCCUUCGGGUUGUAAAGUACUUUAAGCGGGGAGGCGUUACCAGCAGAAGAAGCACCGGCUAACUCCGUGCCAGCAGCCGCGGUAAUUC